rnacentral:lncRNA from 1 species
GCUGCCGGCCUGCAGCUCGGAGAGCGGCCGGAUUAGGGCAAUGAAUAUUGCAAUUAGAGUGUGUCAUUCGGGCGAUUACGCGCCCGGGCGGGAGAGAGGGAGCUGUGGGGAGAUGGAUCCUGGUGACAUCUCCGCAUUAGCUGUGAAGCAACAACCUUUGUGCAGCGCCUACGUCCUGUAAUUUGGUAAUUAAAAUGUCAUUACUGCACACUUAGGAAAUGUGUGUGCAGCGGAGCCUGAAGGUUACAGGCUCUGCCGCUCGCGGAGGCAGCGCGCUSUCGCGGAGCAUCGCUCGCGGGCUCGCGGGAGCCGUGGGGCCGUGGGACGGCACAGAGCCCGGCUCUGCUGGGGACGUGGCUGCAAGCAGCCCGAGGUGCCCCGGGGCACCGGCCCUGGCUCGGGGCCGAGGGGCUGGGGGCACCGCGGGCCUGCGCCAAGCACAGCCGUCUGCUGGGGGGUGCUGCGGGGGGGCAGGGCAGCCCUGUGCGCAUGCAAGGGGGUUGCGCAGCCCUGUGUGCACACAGAGGGUUGUGCAUCCCCUGCGUGUGCAUGCGGUGGGGCAGCACAUCGCUGUGCGCAUGCAAUGGGGUUGUGCAGCCCUGCGUGUGCACACAGAGGGUUGUGCAUCCCUGCAUGCAUGCCAUGCUUGUACACACCCAUGUGCACACAGCAGGUUGUGCAUCCCUGUGUGCACACAGCAGGUUGUGCAUCUCUACUUGCACCUACAAGGGCUGUGCAUCCCCUUGCACACCCAGCCGGGUUGUGCAUCCCCGUGUGCACACAAGGGCUGUGCAUCCCCUUGCACACCCAGCCGGGUUGUGCAUCCCCGUGUGCACACAAGGGCUGUGCAUCCCCUUGCACACCCAGCCGGGUUGUGCAUCCCCGUGUGCACACAAGGGCUGUGCAUCCCCUUGCACACCCAGCYGGGUUGUGCAUCCCCGUGUGCACACAAGGGCUGUGCAUCCCCUUGCACACCCAGMCRGGUUGUGCAUCCCCRUGUGCACACAAGGGYUGUGCAUCCCCUUGCACACCCAGCCAGGUUGUGCAUCCCCGUGUGCACACAAGGGCUGUGCAUCCCCUUGCACACCCAGCUGGGUUGUGCAUCCCCAUGUGCACACAAGGGCUGUGCAUCCCCUUGCACACCCAGCCAGGUUGUGCAUCCCCGUGUGCACACAAGGGCUGUGCAUCCCCUUGCACACCCAGCCGGGUUGUGCAUCCCCGUGUGCACACAAGGGCUGUGCAUCCCCUUGCACACCCAGCCGGGUUGUGCACCCCUGUGCGUGUAUAUAUCCACGUGUGCCCGGGACGACCGGGUGGACGAUGCGCUCAGCCUGGCCCACGGCCGAGCAGGCAGCGCCCACGAGGACGCCCAGCGCAGCGUCACGGCUGGGGCGAUGCUGGGAAACGGGCACGAGGUCCCGGCAGCUUUGGGUGCCCCCCUGGGCACACUCAGUUCACCGGGGAGGGGAGACCUGGCUGUGCGUUGCGGGGAGCAGCCUGGGGCCGGGCCGGGCCCCCCAGGAGGGGAAGGGGGGCAGCCCGGGGCCGUGCACCCCGGGGAGCAGGGUGCAGCCCGGGGCCUGGGGGCAUUGCAGGGAUCAGGGUGCAUCCCAGGGCCGUGCACCCCGGGGAGCAGGGUGCAGCCCGGGGCCUGGGGGCAUUGCAGGGAUCGGGGUGCAUCCCAGGGCCGUGCACCCCGGGGAGCAGGGCUGCAGCCUGAGCCUGCAGUAAGUCCUGCAUCCCAUUAGCAUGAGGGGGGAGCAGAAUCUGUCCCCCCCCCCGCCCCGGGCAGGGUCCGGGGCUUGGGCUGGUCCCCUUGUGUGGGGCUGGACCCACUCGUCCUACAACCCCCCCAGCCCGGGCCUGGUGCCAACCGCAGCAGCUCCGCGAGCAACGUCCGAGCGUCGGGCACGGGGCCGGCGCCUCYGCCCCGGACUUACCUGGGCGGCGGGUGCCCCGCGCCUCCCCGCUGCCUUCAGCCCUCGCAA